GCUACCAACGCUAGCAUUUGCCUACAUAUUUCCAUGUUUUACAUCAUCUGAUCCUCAAUGGUGUAACCAUCACUAUUGCAAAAUAGGUCUGCUAUGAUUGGAGCCGUGGGGCAGAAAACCACAAUCCUGCAGCUGCAAAGACAUCCAUCUACCUCCACAGUCCACAGGAAUCUGAGGUCAAAGGAAAGCCGAGGAUUGCAACAGGCAGGAAGUGAUUACAUUCCAACUUGCGGGAUCUGUUCGUCUUUAGGCCAGUCACCAGUUUUGUUAUGCCCCCCUCCUGCAUUGGAAGUCUGGGUAGAUGUAAAUUUCAGCGUACCUGUAGCAUCUAGGCACUGAAUAUAGGGUUUCUGUUGCAAGAUUAACAUGUAGUAAUACCUGAUGUUUGCAAUGUCCUAGCCCUCUUAAGGAAUUGUGUAUCGAGGUGGUCUUCUGUGAUGUAAAUUUCCGUGCAUAUGGGUCGAUAUCGAUGAUUUGUCAGUAUCGUUUAUGUGAUAUGCUAUAUUAGUUGCUAUAAUGGUCAAAAAGAAAUCCUGUGCUUCCUGGAA